rnacentral:sRNA from 1 species
ACAGGGCACAGUGGCCCGUGCCUGUAGUCCCACUUACUACGGAGGCCAGAGGAGGGGAAUUGCUUGGAAUUAGGAGUUCAAGACCAGCCUGAGCAACAUAGUGAGAUCCUGUUU